rnacentral:rRNA from 1 species
AUUGAACGCUGGCGGCAGGCCUAACACAUGCAAGUCGAACGGUAACAGGAAACAGCUUGCUGUUUCGCUGACGAGUGGCGGACGGGUGAGUAAUGUCUGGGAAACUGCCUGAUGGAGGGGGAUAACUACUGGAAACGGUAGCUAAUACCGCAUAACGUCGCAAGACCAAAGGGGGGGACCUUCGGGCCUCUUGCCAUCGGAUGUGCUCAGAUGGGAUUAGCAAGUAGGUGGGGUAACGGCGCACCUAGGCGACGAUCCCUAGCUGGUCUGGGGGGAUGACAAGCCUCACUGGAACUGAGACACGGUCCAGACUCCUACGGGAGGCAGCAGUGGGGAAUAUUGCACAAUGGGCGCAAGCCUGAUGCAGCCAUGUCGCGUGUAUGAAGAAGGCCUUCGGGUUGUAAAGUACUUUCAGCGGGGAGGAAGGGAGUAAAGUUAAUACCUUUGCUCAUUGACGUUACCCGCAGAAGAAGCACCGGCUAACUCCGUGCCAGCCGCCGCCGUAA